CAUUGAAUAAGGUUGGAUUAUCACUAGUUCUCCUUUUCUCACACUAUGUCCAUCUGGCCAAGUAUCAUCAGAAAAACAACCCCUAGCUAUCUAUGAUCAAAUAAGAGGCUUAAAUUAUUAAAUAAGAAGUAAUACACCAGCUAAGAAUCGUAACUUUUAAUUCAUGUAUGAUAUUUAUCAAAGAUGUUUAAGUUACCAUUGGAACUGCAGGAUAGAGUCUGAGUGUCUCAUUCAAAGCAGCAUGGAGAUAUUGCAUUUUGCUAAGGGCUUCUUUAGUAAGGUUGGCUGCAAGUUCAUCAGGGCUUGAAGUAUUAUUCAGGCCUGUUGCUUCUCUAAUUUCCUGUGCAAUCUUAUCUUGUAUAUCAAGAUGCUUGCACAUCAUAUAAAUAAACCAUGAAAGAGCAGAUGUAGUUGUGUCUUUGCCGGCAGCAAUAAAAUUGAAGACCAUGUCUCUCAAGUACUUUGGAUCAGUCUCCCUAGUUUCAAUGAGUCUAGAGAUAAAGUCACUUUUCUUUAACUGCCAUCAAACCUCAACAUAUCAUCAAUAACAUUAGUUGAAGCAACCAAUAGAAUAUCAAUGAAAUUUAGAACAGAAAGGAAGGUAAAAACUCACAGGUAACUCAUCAUCUUCUGAAUUUUGAAGUGUUUCAAUCUUCCUGUUGAUUAGAUUGUAUACAAAUUUAUCCACCACUUUUAUGUUUUCUUUUAUCAUUGCUUCGGAUCCAAUGUUCAAGAACCGUUUAAUCUUCCAGAAGAUAUCAAAAACACGAUAAAGGGUAGCUCCAUUUGAUUCAUCAGAAGCAUUUGAAAACUGGAUACUUUCUUCAUUGUUUGUUCCAGACAAGGUGUCUAGAUCGAAACCAAGUAGAAUCAUGACGAUUGAAUCCAAGGUUGAUUUCAUAAACAAAUCCUUCCACCAAAAGGAACAUAAAGUAAUUAAUUUAUAUGCACGCUAGACAAACAGAAUAUACAACCUACCUAAAGUGCAAUAUCUGUAGUAUGUGAUCUCUGAUACUGUGAGACAUGGCAAACUUACUUGGAUAUCUAUUGAUUUGCUACAGUUUGCAGCUUGAUGAAUUUUGCCAGCCAGUUUCAAUCCAUUUGUUUUGAAGAUUUCACUGCUGAAGUCCCUGAGUACUUUGGUUGAGAACUGAGAGCUUGAUGCCUUCCUCUGAUGCAUCCAUUUGUCCCCAUCCACAGCAAAGAUCCCAUCUCCCAUAUAAUCAGACAGAAUUUCAUGCAGGUACAAUCCCUAAAAGGAAAUGGUCGACUUAAGCUUUAUGAUCGAUCAUUUUAUAAUUGGGCAUCUAUAUUCCUAAUUUUCUUUCAAAUAGUGAUAUUGCAUGUCUGGCCUUUGGGGUUAAUAUAUAACAUACCUUGCUAUAGUUCGCAAAGUUUGUUUUGAACACGUAUUCCACAUUUGCAGGAUCUGCAGUGUAAACAAUAAUUCUGAACAAGCUAAGCAUUCUGUAAGUUUUGUAUUUGUAGGCAAGCUCAGUCAUGUAAUGGUGCACCCUGUGGAAGUUGAUCAGUUGGUGUAAGACGGUUCCGGCAAGAGGAGGGUAUCUCUUGUUCUUCUCCGGCCACAAAAAUACUGCUAAAAGAACAAGUACCGGUAAACUUAUUGCUAUCUUAGCUAAAGGCAGGCUGGAAAGAAAAUCCAUGACCAAAAUAUAUGCUUAUGGGAUAUUGAAGAUGAUCAUGAAUUUAGGACAACCACAUAUAUAUGUUCUCAAAUGCUAGACUCCAGAGUUUUCAAGGGGUUGUGUAAAUUAAUUUGAGAGCGCGACAGUCCUUUAUUUGCAGCUUCCAAUUCUCAUCAAAUUUUCAGUUUUGUAGUCUAAAAGGCAUCGAUAUCAGGUAGCGUUCGUGUCGUGUCGAACCUUCGCAAGGGAAUUUACAAUUAAUGGUCAUGUUUAUGCUAACUUGAUUUUUUAUCAGUAAGUUUUGUGUGAUAUGUAACAAGUAACUGAUUUUGACACGGUAACCUUGUGAGUAUUUGGAAAUUGAUCUCUCUAAAUUGUCAUCCGUUGAUGCUACUUAUAUACACACCAACUGAAUCAGCUCAAACCAGAUAUACACUUAAGUACUGCAUAUACUUAUCUGCAGUGUUCAUAUAAUCAUAUAUAAUUAAAUACACUUAAUGAAAUCCAUUAUCACUUAUUGAUUUAUUGUAAUGCCAAAUGAUGCAUAUACCUUGAUUUUACUUAUGGAAAAGGCUCAUCAACAAGAAGUUGUUGAUCACAAGUUUAAUGUUUCAAAUAUGAGACUAACAUCUGAUACAACUUUCUUGCAAUGCUCAAACUCUUAGAAAGGCAUGAACAUGAAGUCUCUUGAUAUCGAGCGUGACCAUCGUCCUGUAUUCCACCACUUUUGUCUCGUCAGUGAGCUUGAAUAUGUACUUGGUUAAAAGCACAGCACAGAAUAUCUUCAUUUGCAGAUAACUAUAAUCCUUUCCUAGACAAAUUCUUGGACCGGCCUGCAUCAUAACUAUAUCAUCAGAACUUCUAUAACUAAGCAACCGUAUCAAGAAAAUAUUAGCUUGGUGUUCUUCAUAUAUUACAUUGAAGGCUAUGAAUUUGAAAGGGCUUUCUUCUUUGAAAUUGCCAUUUCCGUCAAGCCAUCUCUCUGGCCGGAACUCUUCUGCAUCAUCACCCCAUAUAUGCUUCAUCCGGCCCAUUGAAUAAGGUUGGUAUACGAUCAUUUCUCCUUUUCUCACACUAUGUCCAUCUGGCCAGGUAUCAUCCGAAAAACAAACCCUCGCAUUCUAUGAACAAAUAAGAACAUCAACAUUAUUAAUUAAUUAAUUAGAAGUAAUGUAAAGAGAGAUUCAAAUCAAGAAGAACAAAUUAAGAAACGUAAAAUUCAGUUCACGUAUAUGACAUUUAUCCUAGAUGUUUAAGUUACCAUUGGAACUGUAGGAUAAAGUCUGAGUGUCUCAUACAAAACAGCAUGGAGAUAUUGCAUUUUGCUAAGGGCUUCUUCAGUAAGGUUGGCUGCAACUUCAUCAGCGCUUGAAGUAAUAUUCAGACCUGUUGCUUCUCUAACUUCCUGUGCAAUCUUAUCUUGUAUAUCAAGAUGCUUACACAUCAUAUAAAUAAACCAUGAAAGAGCAGAAGUAGUUGUGUCUUUGCCCGCAGCAAUAAAACUGAAGACCAUGUCUCUCAAGUAUUUUGGAUCAGUCUCUUUAGCUUCCAAUAGUUUGGAGAUAAAGUCUCUUCUCUUCAACUGUGAUUUAACCUCACAAUAUCAGUAACAUCAAAUCAAUUAAUACUAUGUUAUUUCAAUCUAGAGUAGAAAGGAAGGUACGUAACUCACAGGUUGCUCGUAUUGUUCUUCUGACUUAUGGAGUUUUUCAAUCUUUAUGUCGAUUAAAUUGUAUAUAAAGUCAUCCAACACUUUCAUAUUUUUUCUUAUCGCUGCUUCCGUACCAAUGUUUAAGAACCGUUUGAUCCUCCAAAAGACAUCACCAACACGAUAAAUGAUAGAUCCGCUUGCAUAAGCAAGAGCAUUGGCAAACCGGAUACCUUCAUUGUUUGUUGCAGACAUGGUAUCUAGAUCGAUACCAAGUAGAAUCUUGACGAUUGAAUCCAAGGUCGAUUGCAAAAACAAAACCUUCCAACAGAACGAAGAUCAUUAAUUCAUAGACUGAUAUUCAACAUUAAAAAAAAAAAAAUCAAGAAAUCUGAACAUACAGACAUACAGUGCUACAUUUACUCUUGUCUAUUGCAACUCACUUGCAUCUCUAUUGAUUUGCCGCAGGUUGCAGCUUCAUGAAUUAUGCUAGCAAGUUUGACUGCAUUGGUCUUGAAGAUUUCACUGCUGAAGUCUCUAAGUACUUUGGUUGAGAAUUGCGAGCUUGAUGCCUUCCUCUGAUGCCUCCAUUUGUCCCCAUCCACAGAAAAGAUCCCAUCGCCCAACACAUCAUACAGAAUGCUAUGCAGGUAAUAUCCCUACAAAGAAAUGGUGUACAAACUUAAGCCUCUUGAUCAAUUAUUUUUAGCAUAUUCCUAUGGAUUUUCAUAUAUUGAAAUAAAAAUGAAAGCUUUUGUACCUUGCCAUAGUUAGCAACAUUUGUUUUGAGCACGUAUUCGACAUUUACAGGAUCUGCCGUGUAGACUGUGUAUCUAAAAAAGCCAAGCAUCCUGUAAGUUCUGUACUUGCAUGCAAGCUCUGUCAUAUAAUGGUGCAACUUGCGGCGGUAUUUCAGUUGGUGGAAGAGGGUUCCGGCAACUGGAGGGUAUCUCUUGUUCUUCUUUUGCAUAAAUAUUACUCCUAAAAGGAACAUGACUGCUAAACUUAUUGCAAUGGGAGGUAAAGGAGUGGAAAGAAGAAAAUCCAUGACCAAAAUUCUUAUGGGAUAUUGGAGUUGACAAUGAAGUUAGAACUAGACAACCUGAGUCCCUUAAAUCAUUGUAACAGCUGCCUCGCAACAAAAAAGAUAUCAAGAGGGAUCAUUGGGAUCAGACAUAUAUUAGUUUCGAAGUGGUUCAAUUAUGACUGUACUCUACUGGUCAUAAUUUCUAACGGUAUUGGCAAGACAGUAUUAGAUAAGCUUUCACGCGACUUCAAUUUUGUAGUUUCCAAUCGGGUAAGGUUAUAGACUUAUAACCUCUCACAGAGAAAGACUCCAGAACGUCUCUAACUCCUCCUCAAUUAAUUAACUUCUAGAUACCUAACUGGCUAACUGUCUCUCGUCAAUGAAUACUGCUCUAUUUACAGAUUGGCUUCUGUAUGAUCUCUCACAGCUCAAUUUGUGUUGCUGCUGUAUCAUUGAAAUAAGUAUUCCCACUUCAGGCGGUUUAAUUUGUUUAAAGGAUAUGGAUUAUGCACAAAACAAACAAACGCUAAGCAAAAUGAUGCUGAUAUUUGUCAAAAAUGCUACCCUGAUUUGCUCAGCGUUUAGCAAAUGAAGCCCUGUUAAAGAGUUAGGGGUCAGAAAGCUCACCUUCAAGUUGCCAUUUGAAAUAUAAACAACUAAAUCACUUAAACUAAGAACAAAUGCUUAACAACAUAUUAAUUGCACAUGAUGCAUCGAUCAUAGCCAUCUCAUAAUUUAGUAGAUGAGCCUCCAAAAUAUACUUCAAGGCAGGUAAAGCCAUUUACACAUUUAAAAUAUAAACAAUUUAUAACUAGUGUAUUUCAACUGUUUUUUGUGGUUAAAAUCAUGAUGCAUAUUGGCCAUGCCAAAAUGCAAACGCUAAGCAUAGUGAUUCUGAAUUUCUGAUAUCUGAAAAGUGCAGUACUAUGUCGAAAUUAUGAGAGGAAAAAAACCCUCUAUCCCUUAUUUACUCCGUUAGCAUAUAGCAAACGGUCACAGAAGCUCAUUAGGUCUCAAGUCUCAAGGAUCAAGAGAUUUGAGACUGUGUUCUGUUUCCCCCUUACGUACGUUUGGUAUUUCUAUUUUUGGUUUUGAGUCCUAGCAUGUUCCUCUUUACCCUGGACAUCGAUCAUCUUUCUCACGAAAAUUCUUGUAUUCACUUUGUAAAAUUUUAUAUUUUCACUCUUAUUUCUAGCAACCGGACCAAUAGCAGUUAGAUUGUCAAAAGAUUCUGUUUUUGUAACUAUGAUUAUACUUCCAUUGAAUACAUGAAGAAUCCCAUUUUCUCAAAAAACAAACAGAGGCUUUCAGUGUUCUUGGACAGAAUAUACUGCACUUAAACCAAGUGAAUCAGCUCAAACCAAUAUCAUAAACAAUCAAAAUCAAUGCAGAUCAAGCUUCCACAAAGAAGUUGAAGACAAAUAUCAAAAUCCACAGAAUAUACACUUAGAUACUGCAUAUACCUUAGACUUAUUUCAUAAACAAAUCCUUCCACCAAAAGGCACAUAAAGUAAUUAAUUUAUAUGCACGCUAGACAAUCAGAACAAUGAGAAUAUACAACCAACCUAAAGUGCAAUAUCUGUAGUAUGUGAUCUCUGAUACUGUACGUGAGACAUUGCAAACUUACUUGGAUAUCUAUUGAUUUGCUACAGUUUGCAGCUUGAUGAAUUAUGCCAGCCAGUUUCAAUCCAUUUGUUUUGAAGAUUUCACUGCUGAAGUCCCUGAGUACUUUGGUUGAGAACUGAGAGCUUGAUGCCUUCCUCUGAUGCAUCCAUUUGUCCCCAUCCACAGCGUAGAUCCCAUCUCCCAUAUAAUCAGACAGAAUUUCAUGCAGGUACAAUCCCUAAAAAGAAAUGGUCGACUUAAGCUUUAUGAUCGAUCAUUUUAUAAUUGGGCAUUUAUAUUCCUAAUUUUCUUUCAAAUAGUGAUAUUGCAUGUCUGGCCUUUGGGGUUAAUAUAUAACGUACCUUGCUAUAGUUCGCAAAGUUUGUUUUGAACACGUAUUCCACAUUUGCAGGAUCUGCAGUGUAAACAAUAGUCCUGAACAAGCUAAGCAUUCUGUAAGUUCUGUAUUUGUAGGCAAGCUCAGUCAUGUAAUGGAAUCAGUUGGUGUAAGACGGUUCCGGCGAGAGGAGGGUAUCUUUUGUUGUUCUCUGGCCAAAAAAAAUAACUGCUAAAAGAACAAGUACUGGUAACUUAUUGCUAUCUUAGCUAAAGGCAGGCUGGAAAGAAAAUCCAUGACCAAUAUAUAUGCUUAUGGGAUAUUGAAGAUGAUCAUGAAUUUAGGACAACAUAUAUAUAUAUAUAUAUAUAUAUAUAUNNNNNNNNNNNNNNNNNNNNCAAUUACCUCUUUAAGGACACAUGAGUAAUAAUGUUGUAACUAAUUUUUUUUACUAACUUUAAGGACUCAUAUUAUAAUUUUAAGGAUUAAUAUUACUACUUUGAGGACACUUUUUACAACUUGAGGACAAAGUUGACGCAUCACAUGCAUUAACACACCCUAACCUUACCCCUCAUCAAACUCUUAGUUUUGUAGUCUAAAAUGCAUUGAUAUCAAGUUGCGUUCGUGUCGUGUUGAGCCUUCGCAAGGGAAGUUACAAUUAAUAGUCAUGUUUAUGCUAACUUGAUUUUUAUCAGUAAGUUUUGUGUGAUAUAUAUGUAACAACUGAUUUGGACAUGAAAACCUUGUGAGUAUUUGGAAAUUGAUAUCUCUAAAUUGUCCAUCCGUCGAUGCUACUGAUAUAUAUACACACCAACUGAAUCUGCUCAAGCUAUUAAAUCAAUGCAGAGCAAACUAAUUCCACAAAGAAAUUGAAGACAAAUAUCAAAAUCCAGAGUAUACACUUAAUUACUGCAUAUACUUAUCUGCAGUGUUCUUAUAAUCAUUUAUAAUUAAAUACACUUCAUGAAAUCCAUCAUCACUUACUGAUUUAUUGUAAUGCCAAAUGAUGCAUAUACCUUGAUUAAAGGCUCAUCAACAAGAAGUUGUUGAUCACAAGUUUGAUGUUUCAAAUAUGAGACUAACAUCUGAUACAACUUUCUUACAAUGCUCAAACUCUUGGAAAGGCAUGAACAUGAAGUCUCUUGAUAUCGAGCGUGACCAUCGUCCUGUAUUCCACCACUUUUGUCUCGUCAGUGAGCUUGAAUAUGUACUUGGUUAAAAGCACAGCACAGAAUAUCUUCAUUUGCAGAUAACUAUAAUCCUUUCCCAGACAAAUUCUUGGACCGGCCUGCAUCAUAACUAUAUCAUCAGAACAUCUAUAACUAAGCAACCUUAUCAAGAAAAUAUUAGCUUGGUGUUCUUCGUAUAUUACACUGAAGGUUAUGAAUUUGAAAGGGUUUUCUUCUUUGAAAUUGCCAUUUCCGUCAAGCCAUCUCUCUGGCCGGAACUCUUCUGCAUCAUCACCCCAUAUAUACUUCAUCCGGCCCAUUGAAUAAGGUUGGUAUACGAUCAUUUCUCCUUUUCUCACACUAUGUCCAUCUGGCCAGGUAUCAUCAGAAAAACAAACCCUCGCAUUCUAUGAACAAAUACGAACAUCAACAUUAUUAAUAAAUUAAUUAGAAGUAAUGUAAAGAGAGAUUCAAAUCAAGAAGAACAAAUUAAGAAACGUAACAUUCAGUUCAUGUAUAUGACAUUUAGAGUAAUGCUACGUGAACCACCUAGAGUCCACCUUACGUGGCAAGCUGACGUGGCAUAUCCACAUUAUCAAUAUAAGAUUUCUAAUAUUUUAAAUUUCUGUUUUUUAUUAUUAAUUACGAAAUCUCAUUUUUCAUUUUGUAUUCUUUGAACCCUAUCAUAUUAUCUAUUUAUCGUCUAAUCGUUUAAAACAAAAUCCUAACAAAAAUCCUUAUAAUAAGUCUUCAAACAGACGUGAUUCUAUCAUAUCUUCCUCUCAUCUCUCCCAUCCUCCCACCUUAUCUUCAAUUCAAUUGAUUAGGAAUUCUCAAUCUGAUUUUGGCUUUGUCAAUCACAAACAUUCCAUGCCUAUUCUCUAGAAUAGUCAGAGAAUGUUUUUUUUUUUUGCCCUUUUCAUAACAUGUUUGGAAUUAAGGGUUUGGGGGAGUGGAUUUGAAUUGGGGUUCAUAUUAUAGCUAUGAUUUUGAAUUAGGGUUCAUACUCUCACAUGUGAUUUUGAAUUAGGGUUCAUACCCAAACCCUUAAUUCCAAACAUGUUAUGAAAGGAAAAGAAAGAUGAAGAAACAGUAAUCACAAUUAGAAUAGGCAGAGGAUGUUUGCGAGAAAGCCGAGAUCAAACUGAGAAUUCCUUUAUCAAUUGAAUUAAAUAAGAGGUGGGAGGAUGGGGUGAGAUAACAGGAUGGAUAGAACUACGUCGGUUUUGAAGAUGUAUUGUACAUAGGCAAAAAGAACUUCUUCUUUUUUUUUGGUAAGGAUUAGAAAGACAAAGGAUAUAGGGUUUAAAAAAAAAUAAAAAAGAAAAAAAAAAUUAGUAAUUAAUAAUAAAAAAACAGAAAUUUAAAAUAUUAGCUUAUAUUGAUGACGUGGAUAUGCCACAUUAGCUUGUCACGUAAGAUGGGCUCUAGAUAUUUCACCUAGCAUUACUCAUGACAUUUAUCCUAGAUGUUUAAGUUACCAUUGGAACUGCAGGAUAGAGUCUCAGUGUCUCGGUCAAGGCUGCAUGGAGGUAUUGCAUUUUAUUAAGGGCUUCUUCAGUAAGGUUGGCUGCAACUUCAUCAGCGCUUGAAGUAUUAUUCAGACCUGUUGCUUCUCUAACUUCCUGUGCAAUCUUCUCUUGUAUAUCAAGAUGCUUACACAUCAUAUAAAUAAACCAUGAAAGAGCAGAAGUAGUUGUGUCUUUGCCCGCAGCAAUAAAACUGAGGACCAUGUCUCUCAAGUACUUUGGAUCAGUCUCUUUAGCUUCCAAUAGUUUGGAAAUAAAGUCUCUUCUCUUUAACUGUGAUUUAACCUCAAAAUAUCAGUAACAUCAAAUCAAUUAAUACUAUGUUAUUUCAACCUAGAGUAGAAAGGAAGGUACGUAACUCACAGGUUGCUCGUAUUGUUCUUCUGACUUACGGAGUUUUUCAAUCUUUAUGUUGAUUAAAUUGUAUACAAAGUCAUCCAACACUUUCAUAUUUCUUCUUAUCGCUG
rnacentral:lncRNA from 1 species